UGUUGUCCGUUAAAUCAAUUAACGGAAACUAAGCAUGUAGAGCCAAAGGCAGAGUGCUGGCGGACGCGGGUUCAACUCCCGCCGCCUCCACCA
rnacentral:tmRNA from 1 species